rnacentral:ncRNA from 1 species
UUAGGCUAUAUAUGGGGAAACUCCGAAUACAGGCCUAGAUUAUUUGUACAGACAAACUUUUUGGGUGCUACGAUCCAAAGUCGAGAGGGAAACAACCCAGAUCGUACGCUAAGGUCCCUAAGCAAUCGCUUAAUGAAAAAGGAAGUGAUCGAGUGAUGACAACCAGGAGCUGGGCUUGGAAGCAGCCAUCCUUUGAAGAAAGCGUAAUUGCUCACUAGUCUAGCUCCAUCGCACCGAAAAUGUAUUAGGGCUCAAGUGAUUCAACGAAGCGACGAGACUUUGAAAGCUACUUUUUCAAGUGUCAGUAGCAGAAUGUUCUGUCAAUCGGGGAAGGUUUUUGGUGACAAGACCUGGAGAUAUCAGAAGUG